UGGGGAUCCCAGAGACCGAGGCCGCUGCUGCAGCUCCCGGGUCCUGCGCUGGGGCAGAGGGAUGGCGUGUGAGCUCUUCCUCCUCUCCUCCCUCUGGUUCCUCUUCGUCAUCUUCUGGAUGGAGACCAUCAGCCUCUGGCUCUUCCUGUGCAACUUCUACCAGGACCGAGCCUUCUACCACUGGGGGGAGCGGGUGUUCGUCUCUGACCCAGGCCACAUGCUCUACGUCUUCGUCAGGUGAGCACCUGCUGGUUCCAGGCCCCGCCCGGCAGCCCAGUGCUGGGCCUGGCCGGCCGCGGACCUGCUCCCAGCGCAGCGGCUGGGGAAGACGAGCACACGGCGGACACUCGGCCAUGGCAGAGCCGCGAGAUCAGAGGUGGGGGUCCCAGGGUAGGAGGCUCCUGCUGCCACCCCCAUGAGCCACACGCCCCUGCCGGGCUCAGAACCCAGCGCAGGCUGCAGGAAGCCAGCCGGGCACUGUAUUGAACCCUGGCCAUUGAGGGACCUGUGGGAGCAGCUGGCAGAACACAGGGAGCCAGUCUCUCGCUGCCCGGCGGGCCAGGGCGUCGGGGGCCACAACUUGUGCCCAGCUGCUGGAGCGUGGGAGGGGCACGCGGCCGCUGUCCCCUACCCCACACUCUGAGGGACAGAGGCAGCGCUGGUGCUGCGGGCUCAGGGCAGGCAGCCUGGGCCGUGGCUGGGAUCCAGAGCCAGGACGCCUGGGUUCUUCUCCCCUUUGUGGGGCCUCCAGUGAUUCUGCCUCCUUCUGCCCCAUGCGCUGGGGCUAAUAUGGAGCGAGCUGCUGGGGGAGGCACGAAGCCGUUAACCAGCCCCUUGGCGGGGGUGCCGGCCGCUGUGCUGGGUCCUGCACAGUUAGAGUAGCCUCAGGGCUGCUCUCAGUUCUGCUCUGCCUCCUCAGGGCAACAAGGAGCAGCGAUCACGGGAGCAGAGCGCUCUGCCCAGGGCCCUGCUCCAUGGGCACCGGAGACGCAAGGGACGGGUCCCCUCCACUGAGAGAGGAGCCCACGGGGGCUGAGGAGGGGACACGGCCGUGUGGUGCAGCCUGGACACCUCCACGACCCACAGGGUCCUGUGAAAAUAAAGAG